GCCGGUGAUCGAUGCUCAGGGGGGCACACCCGUUCCCAUUCCGAAUACGGCCGUUAAGCCCCUGGGGCCGAUGAUAGUCUCCCGCAAGAGGCGAAAGUAGGUUAUUGCCGGCC
rnacentral:rRNA from 1 species